rnacentral:rRNA from 1 species
GAUGAACGCUAGCGAUAGGCCUAACACAUGCAAGUCGAGGGGCAUCACAUGAAGUAGCAAUACGGAUGGUGGCGACCGGCGCACGGGUGAGUAACACGUAUGCAACCUGCCUUCAACAAGGGGAUAACCCGUUGAAAGACGGACUAAUACCCUAUAACACAGGGGUCCCGCAUGGGAAUAUUUGUUAAAGGACAACCGGUUGAAGAUGGGCAUGCGUUCCAUUAGCUAGUUGGCGGGGUAACGGCCCACCAAGGCAACGAUGGAUAGGGGAACUGAGAGGUUUAUCCCCCACACUGGUACUGAGACACGGACCAGACUCCUACGGGAGGCAGCAGUGAGGAAUAUUGGUCAAUGGACGCAAGUCUGAACCAGCCACGUCGCGUGAAGGAAGACGGCCUUACGGGUUGUAAACUUCUUUUAUACGGGAAUAAAGUGCCCCACGCGUGGGGUUUGUCAUGUACCGUAUGAAUAAGGAUCGGCUAACUCCGUGCCAGCAGCCGCGGUAAGUACUGACUCA